GGUUGGAGAACCGGGAGUGAAUGAGGCAUAGAGGACAGGAGGGAGGCACCUAGGACGACAGCGGCUCAGCAAUUUGCCCGUCGGUCCGCACUCCCUGUGACCCAGGACGUCAUGAUGCCUGUCUGUUUUCUCAAUGAUAACUUGGCAGAAGAAGAGAGAGGCUGCCAGGUUCUCCUCGGGUGGUUACGUGUUCCUUUCUGACAGGAUUAGGAGUUUUCCCCUGACUCUUCCGAUUUGCCUGACCUGGUGCCAAGUCCAACACUGGCUCUCAUCAAAGUUUCUGAUGCAGGAAUUGAAACAAAACCGCCCUUCGGAGAGCGAGGAUGCCAAUUUCCAAUUUGACAGAAAAUGGCUCUCUUUUCCAUUUGAGAUAGUGCAUUUGCUGCCUGGGUUCAGAAGAGAGAAAGAACCUUGGCAACCAGAUUCAACUGGAAAAAAUAAUCAAGAUGUCACCUGAUGCCACACACUAACAACUAUGUUCUCAGCUACGUGGCCCUGCCAGUUGCUGAACCAGCAGAGGAAAGAAAGUUGGUGUCAUGGAAAGAACACUAAACUUGGCGUCAGGACACUUGAGCGGAAUGAUUCUUACAGCACCGGAGCUCAUGCCAGAGGGGUGGUGGCAUGAGCGAGGCCAACCACAUGCUUCAAAAGUCAUUUCCUGCAUGAACCUCUCUAGGACGCAGCCUCCCACUCUCCUCCCCGUGACUGCCCAGUGGGCUCCGUCACUCUUCGUCUCUGCCUCCAUUGACACACUUCUAGCACGGCACUUACCAUACUUUACUGUAAUUAUGCUUAAUAUGUCUGCCUUUGCGCCUUCAGUGGCAAAUACCUUUAGGGUAACAGGUAUUUUAGUUACUUUGUUACCCCUUGUUCCGAAGCACAUAGUAGGUGCUCCAGAAGUAGUCAAUGAAUAAACUAUUAUCAGGGGAGACUGUGUGCCUGCAUCUGUUCCUAUUCCCCCAAAAUUCUUUAGCCAGCCUGGGAAAUGGAGAAGGCAGGGCCAGCCUUACUGACAGGCUGGAAGCUGUACUGUACGGCUGGGCGCGUUGCUCAGAAGGCGCCUCUCUCUCAUCAAACUCCCACGUUUACUGUUUAUUUUGCUACCUUCUGUGUACAGUUAGUAUAAGGGAAUAAAGUAUGUCAUUUCCCAAUCAGACUUAUGCUGAAAACGCAAAACGUCCCCUCCCUCCAAAAAAAAAACAAAACAAAACAAAAAACAAACAAACGUUAACACUGACCUCAUUUGAUACUGAUGUAUAAAUGCCAGAUACCAGGUUUUGCCAGAAAGCUAAGAAAAUGAAGAGGGCGGGACCGGCCACGACAAGGGCGCCAGAACGGAGGGCUGAAUGGCUGGCACAGCGUGAUGGGAAAAACCAGAAAACAGAACCAAACGUCCUCUUUUAAAUUCCUGAGGAAGGAUCCUAAACACUCUACCAUCAGUUCUUGCAUCUUUAAAAUGGAAUUAUAACAUUUAAGUAUCAGGGUUACUGGGAAGAUUACAUGAGAGAACGCCUGUCGAAAUAGACAGCUGAUAAAAGCAAAUUCUCCCCCCUCCGUCUCUUCCAUCUCAACCAUUUACCUUCCCAGAAGGGAAAAAAAAAAAAAAAGAAUCAAAUCCAUCAACUUAUAAACCACAAUCAACUGGUAAGCUUUUCUCUUGGCCAGGCUGCUAAAAAAGAGGAUCCCAGAGAUAAGCUUAUGCCAGUGGUCUUCACACUUCACCCUGGAAUCAUUGGGAAAGCUUUUUAAAAUCCUCAUACUCAACUCAUUCCCCAGAGCAGUUAGGUUAGAAUGUCUGGGGGCUGGAGCCACACAACAGUACUUAAAAAACAAACAAACAAACAAAAAUAUCCCAAGUUAUUGCAAGGGCGCACCAGAGUUUGGGAGCCACUGGCUAACGUAGAGAAAUGGGCCAGUGGCUCGUCAAAUUGUCCAGCUCGAGCCUGAUGCUAAGAAGGCCCCAGUCUUGGGCUCUCGUCCAGAACAGGCCAGCUGUUUACUCUUUCACACACCCAGGGUGCCUAUGCCAUCUCCUUCAACCCUCCUUUGGGAAGCUCUUUAGAAAUGACCCCGGGACAGGGUGAUAACAGUGGACUGACUCAUCCCAAGUACCAAAAAAGCAGGUUAAAAAAAAGCACAUCAGUCACCUGUAUGU